rnacentral:rRNA from 1 species
UACAGAGGGGGCGAGCGUUGUUCGGAAUUACUGGGCGUAAAGGGCGCGUAGGCGGCCAACUAAGUCAGACGUGAAAUCCCUCGGCUCAACCGGGGAACUGCGUCUGAUACUGGAUGGCUUGAAUUCGGGAGAGGGAUGCGGAAUUCCAGGUGUAGCGGUGAAAUGCGUAGAUAUCGGGAAGAACACCCGUGGCGAAGGCGGUUCUCUGGGACGGUACUGACGCUGAGACGCGAAAGCGUGGGGAGCGAACAGG